rnacentral:rRNA from 1 species
CAGCAGCCACGGGAAUACGAAGGGGGCUAGCGUUGUUCGGAAUUACUGGGCGUAAAGCGCACGUAGGCGGAUCGAUCAGUCAGGGGUGAAAUCCCAGGGCUCAACCCUGGAACUGCCUUUGAUACUGUCGAUCUGGAGUAUGGAAGAGGUGAGUGGAAUUCCGAGUGUAGAGGUGAAAUUCGUAGAUAUUCGGAGGAACACCAGUGGCGAAGGCGGCUCACUGGUCCAAUACUGACGCUCAUGCACGAAAGCGUGGGGAGCAAACAGGAUUAGAUACCCCGGUAGUCCCUGUCUCUUAUAC